UGGUCAUUUCAAAGAGGGCUCUUGGGACCAAAACCAGGAGCUCUUAACAUCUGACCUAAAAGUAAAGGUUCUCCAGGAAUCAGUGGUCUCUCAGAAACAGUAGUGCUGUUUUUACCUCAGGGUCAGUGAGU
rnacentral:snoRNA from 1 species